CCUACGGGAGGCAGCAGUGGGGAAUAUUGGACAAUGGGGGGAACCCUGAUCCAGCGACGCCGCGUGAGUGAAGAAGUAUUUCGGUAUGUAAAGCUCUAUCAGCGGGGAAGAAAGAAAUGACGGUACCUGACUAAGAAGCCCCGGCUAACUACGUGCCAGCAGCCGCGGUAAUACGGAGGGGGCAAGGGUUAUCCGGAUUUACUGGGUGUAAAGGGAGCGUAGACGGCGAUGCAAGUCUGAGGGGAAAGGCGGGGGGCCAACCCCCGUACUGCUUUGGAAACUGUUGGGCUGGAGUGCAGGAGAGGUAAGUGGAAUUCGUGGUGUAGCGGUGAAAUGCGUAGAUAUUAGGAAGAACACCAGUGGCGAAGGCGGCUUACUGGACUGUAACUGACGUUGAGGCUCGAAAGCGUGGGGAGCGAACAGGAUUAGAUACCCGAGUAGUC
rnacentral:rRNA from 1 species